CACGAUGUGGCCCCCGUGGUGUAUACGUCUUCAAAGUGCUGCCACGUUGCUCCAGCUCUGAAGACGCCGAUGCAGAGCGCCAGAUCAAGAAAACGCGCUUGCUGAACCGCAAGCUGACGGCUACGCUGAAACGCCUGCCGUGUGUUCGAAUCUUGAACGCCGAGCAUCGGUUUCUCAAUUCCUCGAAAGAGCCACGACGUGCGUUCUUAGCAAUUGAUGGGUACCAUGUGCACAGAGGCCAAGGGAUCGAUCAGCUGGCCAAAAUCAUCGUCAGUUCUCUUGCCCGUGACUUCGGACCUGGAGUGAAGUCACAUGCACACAGCGAGCUGGGUAUCUGCUACAGGCUGCUGAAAUGCAGCCACUGCAACACAAAAGGCCACGAAGUCCUGCGAGUGCAGCAAAUUCCUUCGCCUACCUUCCCAACAUGAACCAAGACUGCUUUAGAUCAUCUUAAUGUGUAAAGCAGCACACAAAAACAAGACAUGAAAGGAGGAAUACAAUUGAACAGGCCAACCACUGCACUUGCAAUUAGCUUAUUUUGAAGGGAAAAAAAGGAGGGGGUAAUACACAUAUGCACAAGUGCACAACAUUCAAAUUUUUUUAAGCACCGUUAUGAGCAAAAGUCAUUGUUGCAUGUGGUGCACUUGUGGGUAUGUACUAUAUACAUAUUUUUUAAAAGAAUAAACUAGUGGCAAGUGCAACAGUUGUCCUGUUGAAUCAUAUUAAUCCUCUUGUGUCUUUUUUUCUGUGCGCUGCUUUACAUGUUCAGAUGCUCUGUCACCAAUUCACCCGACUUUCAACCUUACUGAAACUUGGCAAAUGCUGCCUGCCAUGAAACGGCCCUUUUCAGGGCCACUCAUGUGUUGUCCGGCUGGUUGCGAAUGCUCCCAACUGUUAACCAGAUAGCCUCCUUGAAACUUGAGAGGAGUUGUGCGGCGCAUGUUGACUCUGCUGGCUGUAUAUUACUUUUGUAUAAUUAAGAUUGUGCCACAGGGUCUUUCAAUUGAAAGUAAUACAUAUAGCAUGACCUUGCAUUAUCUUUCAUAAAUGCUAAUCACUACUCGAACAAAUCGAGAACGUUUCUGUAUUGCAGCAAAUAAAUGUAGAAAUUGCAUAUGU